AUCGCUUCUCGGCCUUUUGGCUAAGAUCAAGUGUAAGAAUACAAUGAUACCUAUUCACCUAAAAAUUUUUUUAAAAACUCUAGAAAAAGUAGUUUGCUUAAUGGUAUACCGUACUCCAUAAAACACCUGCCUAUU
ensembl:snRNA U2 U2 spliceosomal RNA